rnacentral:rRNA from 15 species
CUGCGCGGAAGAUGUAACGGGGCUAAGCAAUAUACCGAAGCUGCGGAUACGUGUUUACACGUAUGGUAGGGGAGCGUUGUGUAAGUGGAUGAAGGUGAAUCGAGAGGUUUGCUGGACAUAUCACAAGUGCGAAUGCUGACAUGAGUAACGAUAAUGGGAGUGAAAAACUCCCACGCCGGAAGACCAAGGUUUCCUGUCCCAUGCUAAUCAGGGCAGGGUAAGUCGGCCCCUAAGGCGAGGCAGAAAUGCGUAGUCGAUGGGAAACGGGUUAAUAUUCCCGUACUUAUAUAAUCAGUGAUGGAGGGACGGAGAAGGCUAGGCAAGCUUGGCGUUGGUUGUCCAAGUGAAAGCGAGUAGGCCGAAAACUUAGGUAAAUCCGGGUUUUUAAAGCUGAGACGCGAGACGAGCCACUACGGUGGUGAAGUUGUUGAUGCCCUGCUUCCAGGAAAAGCUUCUAAACUUAUGAUUAUAUGAACCGUACCCCAAACCGACACAGGUGGUCAGGUAGAGAAUACUAAGGCGCUUGAGAGAACUCGGGUGAAGGAACUCGGCAAAAUUGUACCGUAACUUCGGGAGAAGGUACGCCCCUGUUUGUGAAGACUUCGCGUCGUAAGCAGAUGGGGGCCGCAGUGACCAGGUGGCUGGGACUGUUUAUUAAAAACACAGCACUCUGCAAACUCGUAAGAGGACGUAUAGGGUGUGACACCUGCCCGGUGCCGGAAGGUUAAUUGAUGGGGUUAGCGUAAGCGAAGCUCUUGAUCGAAGCCCCGGUAAACGGCGGCCGUAACAAUAACGGUCCUAAGGUAGCGAAAUUCCUUGUCGGGUAAGUUCCGACCUGCACGAAUGGCGUAACGACUUCCCCGCUGUCUCCAAGAUAGACUCAGCGAAAUUGAAUUGCCUGUCAAGAUGCAGGCUUCCCGCGGUUAGACGGAAAGACCCCGUGCACCUUUACUACAGCUUCACAUUGGCAUUAGGCCGAGCAUGUGCAGGAUAGGUGGUGGGCUUUGAAGCGGUGACGCCAGUCAUCGUGGAGCCUCCCUUGAGAUACCACCCUUGCUCUGCUUGAUGUCUAACCGCGGUCCGUUAUCCGGAUCCGGGACCCUGCGUGGCGGGUAGUUUGACUGGGGCGGUCGCCUCCUAAAGCGUAACGGAGGCGCGCGAAGGUUGGCUCAGAGCGGUCGGAAAUCGCUCGUUGAGUGCAAUGGCAGAAGCCAGCCUGACUGCGAGACUGACAAGUCGAGCAGAGACGAAAGUCGGCCAUAGUGAUCCGGUGGUCCCGAGUGGAAGGGCCAUCGCUCAACGGAUAAAAGGUACGCCG